AAGCAUCUAGCACAAGAGAAGUGCGCCUAGUUCUACACUGGGAGGUGGGGGUUCGAGACCCUCGAUGCUAG